ensembl:lincRNA
CUCAGACGGACCCAUUAGUGCAUCUAACCAGCAUGGAAGCUAAGAAUUGUGUCCUGACAAGAAGCAAACACUCUAUCUCUCUGAGCCCUGACAGAAGAGGCAACAUGAUCUGAAACCCAGUCUCGCUUUGCUGUGCAGUCAUUAAUAAAGCUACAGGAAGAGGAAGAGGAGGCCAGCACUGAAAAUCAAAUGAGCACCACCAGGAAAGGAAAUCAUGCCUCACAUAUCAGACAGGAAAGAAGAAAACAGAACUUCACCAGAACCACAAUCCUGUCAUCACAAUGCUUAUUUUGGGGCUCGAUACAUUAUGAUCUUCAAACGUUUGCCACUGUCAAAGGCCAGGAAAUUGUCAUUGUGUCAAGAGAUUAGAAAAUUCUUAAAUCCAACAGUGAUGCAAACCAUCACUGAUACAUAACCCUAAUACCAUAAGUCUUCUAGUGCAUUUCUCUGAAGAAAGAUUAUGCUCCACACCAAUGUACCUAACACACAAGAGGUGGAAAUAUCUUAUCAAACUAGUCUCAAACUUCUGAUUAAAAUGAGGCUGCACAUUAUUUCAUUUGUC